rnacentral:sRNA from 1 species
CGAGAGAUGGCUCCAAAUAUGGCAGAGUGGGACCAGAAGGAGCUGUUCCCAGUGGACGUGAUGCGGAAGGCAGCCCAGCUAGGCUUCGGAGGGGUCUACGUACAAACAGAUGUGGGCGGGUCUGGGCUGUCACGUCUUGAUACCUCUGUCAUUUUUGAAGCCUUGGCUACAGGCUGCACCAGCACCACAGCCUAUAUAAGCAUCCACAACAUGUGUGCCUGGAUGAUUGAUAGCUUCGGAAAUGGGGAACAGAGGCACAAAUUUUGCCCACCGCUCUGUACCAUGGAGAAGUUUGCUUCCUACUGCCUCACUGAACCAGGAAGUGGGAGUGAUGCUGCCUCUCUUCUGACCUCCGCUAAGAAACAGGGAGAUCAUUACAUCCUCAAUGGCUCCAAGGCCUUCAUCAGUGGUGCUGGUGAGUCAGACGUCUAUGUGGUCAUGUGCCGAACAGGAGGGCCAGGCCCCAAGGGCAUCUCAUGCAUAGUUGUUGAGAAGGGGACCCCUGGCCUCAGCUUUGGCAAGAAGGAGAAAAAGGUGAGUGGCUGUUGGACAGGAAACAAUUUAGGUUAUGAGACUCUGCCACCUGCCAGCCCAACUCCUGCUCUAUUUCAGAAAACAGGUUUGCAUACUUGCUAACCUACCUUUGAAGCAGUUGCUUCUAUUAGGAUUUUCAACAGGAGCAUAUGAAAUACAACAGGGCAUUAUUAAACACUAGGCCUCUGGGGAAAGUGACAAUGUUUGCCAGUAAAUUCUUCAAGCCACCUGUGAGUGUUCUGACCUCUCCUGCCUCUGCUUUUGGCCUGUGUUCCUCAUCCAGCUGCUUACGUUGGUGCACUUUGUUGCUCCAGGAAGAGACGCUUAGAGAAGACCUGGUGUUGGCCACAAGUCUCAGUAAUGGAAGGCAUGUGGUCCCUUUUUCUUCUUUGAUUAAAAAUAAAGUAAAACUCAUUGGAGAUGAUUGUGGGUAUUUCAGCAACCUAAGAAGGACACUUAGGUACUGUAAGUAAUUUGAAAAGUAAGAUACUUCUAGGAUUAAGAGCCGCCAUGGCCAGGGCAUGAACAGGAGACCUG